UCUAGCAGCUCAGCUGUUUGAGUCUUUUAAGGGAGGUGAAGGCUUAGAGGGAGAGUUGGCUUGAUGUUAGUGUGGUGGUAGUGAUGUGCUUUUUCUGUUUUUCCUUGCUGGCUCCAAAAUCCAUUGUCUUUCUCAGCCAGGCUAUUCCAGGUUACUCCAUCCUCCUACAGAGUCUUGCAUAAUACAUAUGAGGCUCUGCCUACUGGAGUGACCACUGUCCCACAGAGGGGGCAAACUUUUGCAUCUGCUUCUACACUGCUGUUGGUAGGAGCAGUGGUAUGCUCUGUCAGGUGUUUAAUGACUUGAAGGACAUGUGAAAUGCACACAUGUGUGACUUAAAGACUGAGUGUGGAGUGCAGAAGGAGUGAUUUUAGAGAUGCGAGGAGAGGCAGAGGAGUGUCGUGGCAGGACAAAGUGUUUUGCCACAAAGCCUAUGUCAGAUGUGGAGCUCCUGGUGCCACAUCAGCCCCUGCAACCUUCCCCGGCCUGCGAGUGACCCAAGUGGGGCGUAAUGACUUCAAGGUGGCAGUGAAAGGCUGAUCCGCGCCCUUCUGGUUGGAGGCUUUAAUUUGAUCCCAUUGUGCAUGAAGUGAUGACUCCUGAAAACAACAGCGGCGGCACAAUUAUUUAUGUUCAUCUGUCAGAAGAGCAGAUCAAAGCGAUCUAUAGAGCUGCAGACAAAUAUCACCACGGAUGACCCAGAGGCUCCCUUUGUGUGAGGUGACAGACUGGAGUGUGACUUCAUUGGGAAAUCAGUCUUAGACUCACACAGCAAAGUCACCCCAGCUAAUGCUGACCCAGAGCUUUUCUUUGCACUCGCUCACAGCUGAGUAGCGACAGGGGUUAGAGACGAUGACGCCAACUUUCCCUGUUUUUGUUUUUCGGGGAAGAGACCUUGUUCAGCACAACAAUAUCGCUUGUGCUCAUCAUUACGUGUGCAAUCUUAAGAUGAUAUCUCGGCAAGUUCAGACGCGAUGGAGACCUUUUGAGCUGCGUGGCUGCGGGGUGUGUUGCAGCCUGGCACUGUGCAGCGAGGCUGUAAGGGAUCAUCUGGGAACCUCUGACCGUGCGAAGAGUCAGGGGAGCAGCAAUUGCUUCAUGCCCUGCUCAGAGCCACCAGAUUCCUGCCUCUCAGGUCUCUCAAAGCACAUCCUCACUGAAGUGCUGAUACCAUUAACUGCUGGCAUCGCCUCAGCAAGGAAGAGCCAAGGGAAUUGAAGGUGAUAGAGGUCAAAUCAGCAAAAGAAGAAUUUGAAGACCACUUUCCCCUCUUUGUCUUUGCUAGGGUUCUGUCCACACAUACCUUUUCACUGCCUGACUUGCAGAUGGUGACUGAUGCUUGGAGUAUCUCUUUCAUGUGCUUGGAAAGGUUCCUACAACUCUGGCAAUGAGUGAUGCAGUCAGCCCUACAGCCCAAUUUUAUAGAUUAAUUAAAUAUCAACAGAGAUAGAUCUGGGCCCUCUGCACCACCCAAAAGCCCAUUCAUUCCCUAUAGGGCUUUGUGCACAGGUUAUUCAUGCUUCUAUAGAAUAGAUGAUACACCAGCCACAACUUGGAAGUGUUGAACGUGAUGUGAUGAUCUUUCAUGAUGCUUGUCUCUUCAAAACACAGCCCCAGUGUCCUGCAAGGGAAAGAAGGUCCCCAACUGCAUGUACCAAAAAUAAAGAAAAAUUCCGGCUCUCAUUGCUGGAGAAAGGCGAAGAAAAAUGGAGCUUCAGUGAACUUGAAAGCCUCAAACAAGAAUCAAAUCCACCAAACAAAAAGCCUCCCAAGUGAAAACAAGAUUCGGUGCAUGUGAGCUAGCAUCAUGUUUUGGGGCAUGAAUCACAAGGUUUUCUUUUUUUUCCUCUUUGGCAGGUGUAUAUAAUUACAGUCCCAGGAUCUGUUGAAGUAUUUAGUGAUUUUGGCUCAACUUCAGAUGCCGUGGCUGGUGUUAGCCAGUAGGUGUUCUGUGCAUCCUGGAAGAUCAGUGCCUCGAGCUGCAAAUUCAUUCAUGACUUUCUUAAGGAAGUUGACCAGAGAAAAGAGGAAACACAAAAACAAUUUAACUUAAACUACAUGGGACAACUCUGGCUUUAAUUUUACCCUUACAGGGAUAAAUGACUGCAAUCUAAGCUGGAACUUGUUUUAAGUCUUUAGCUCGUUGCAUGCACAAAUAUACGCUGUGGGCACAAUUUUCCUGACUGAGCCCUUGAAAUGUGCAGGGGGAGCACCAGUAUCUGUGUGCAACCCUUUUGUCUAGUGCCUGGGCCCUUAGACACAGUCAACACCACAUCUGAGUGCCUAUGAAGAGAACCAUCUUCUGCCACGUGGUUUCUUCUCCUCGUGUCUUGUGGCUGCACUGGUGCUUCAGUUGUCAUAGCACACAAAAUAGGCAGACGAGGAAACUUUAAUGCUGAUGUUUGUGUAAGCCCAAUAUUACCACUGCUAUGCAUACUUGUUUAAAAACCACUGUGUCUAAGAAUUGUUUUUAUGUUCCCCUUGGGCUGAGCUGUGAAGGUGAGGCUAUUAACCAAAGGCAUUUGUCAUCAAAGGGCACUCUGGAGCCAACACAACGCAAUGAUUUUCACACAAAGGCUUGAUUGUCAUUUGUUUGGUUUGCAGGCAGCCAAACCAGCAGCUACGGAGAUCACCCCAAGCCUUGCUUACGCUCUUCAGCUCAUCUCAGGGCUUUGUGGGACCCAGAAAUAAAAGCAGGCAGCGUGCUGUGGUUUUGCUGGCUCUAAAUAGCGCUUGUCCUGGGGCUGUGUGAGCUCUACCCAGGGGCAGUUGUGUGCCCAGCAGACGAGCAUCACGUCCCUCCUGGCCACCCCCUGCAUCGCCACCCUGUGCCACCCUCCCCAUCUGCACGGUGACACAUCCUGCCCACCCAGCACUGCCCAGUUCCCAAACACCCCGGUGGCACCAGUCACACCCUCCUGGUUUGAUGCCAUCAGCACAUUCCCGGCUGCCUGCCCAGCCAGGAUGCCUGCCCCAAAAGGCAGCUUGCAUCACCCUGUGCCAGCAGUGGCGUGGAGAGGCUCUCAGCAGGGUGAAGGGGAGGAUGAGGAUGCCCACCGACCUUGUACACACACAGCUGAAGCAACGGGGAGGUCCCUGGGGAAAGGAAACCUCCAUGGGGCAUCAGACCUAGGGAUAGGGCUGGGUACAGCUGCUGUGGGCUGUGACACGGGGCCUGGGGCCUAGGCAGGGAGAAGGGGCUGCCCUGUUAGCCCCAACCUCUGCCACUACCCACUGAUGUGAGCCCCUCCGCUGUCUCUGAUGGAGCCCUGGUGGCCUUUCCCCCAAACCAACAGCGAAUGCUCAGCUGUUUGGGGACAUCUUGCCAGGUUCAUGGGACAUCAGCAUCAUGGCACUGAUCUGGAUGGAGAGCUUGAUGGAGUGGCUGCUCCCUGGGGUUGGUCCUGUUGUGGCAAGGCAGUGCUUGCUCCCCCUGCAUGCCCCGGUCUGUACACACGUGUGCACACCCAGGUGCAUGGACACGUGUGUACGUGCACACACAUGCACUGCUGCCCCUGCUGAAGCCAUUGGCGCGGUUGCUGUCCCAGAGCAGGUUUAAUUAUGCUGCGGAGCUCGUUACCACAGGAAGCAGCCGAGGCCAAGAAUUAAGUAAGACUUGAGGAAGGGAUUGGCCAUUCGGACAGACAACAAGAAUAUCCAGAGUUGUCAUAAUUCAUGCCGAUAAAAAUUUUGGAAAGGAUGCACAACUCCUCACCUCGGGGU